AUUGAACGCUGGCGGCAGGCUUUACACAUGCAAGUCGAACGAGUGGCGGACGGGUGAGUAAUGUCUGGGAACCUGCCUGAUGGCGGGGGAUAACUACUGGAAACGGUAGCUAAUACCGCAUACUAUCGGAUGUGCCCAGAUGGGAUUAGCUAGUUGGUGGGGUAACGGCUCACCAAGGCGACGAUCCCUAGCUGGUCUGAGAGGAUGACCAGCCACACUGGGACUGAGACACGGUCCAGACUCCUACGGGAGGCAGCAGUGGGGAAUAUUGGACAAUGGGCGAAAGCCUGAUGCAGCCAUGCCGCGUGUAUGAAGAAGGCCUUCGGGUUGUAAAGUACUUUCAGCGGGGAGGCGGUACCCGCAGAAGAAGCACCGGCUAACUCCGUGCCAGCAGCCGCGGUAAUUC
rnacentral:rRNA from 1 species